GCUGCGCGCACUCCCCGCCGUGGUGGGAUGCGGCGCGUCCCGCCCCCCUCCCAUCCCCGCUCGCGCUUUCCGCGUGUUUUCCGCCGGGUCCCUCCGCGCCGCCGCGCAAGGGGCGCGCACGCCCCAACUUCGCCACUCGGGGCAAGAAGUUGCGCUGGGGCCGCACCCCCCUCUCCCCCCGCGCCGUGCCCGGCUGCCCGUUCCCCCUUCCCCGGGCACCUGUUGCGGCUUCACGCCCGCGCAGCCCCUUCCGCAGGCGCGGAACCCCGCGCCGUGCAUCCGCCCCCACCGCGGGUCCCUGGGACGCGUUUCGCCCAUCCCCCCCACCAUUCUUUUUUUAUUUAUUUUUUUUUUUUUCCUGAAACGAAGUGUUUGAAUAAACACCCGCGCCUCCCCAGCUCAGCCCGGCGCAACUUCUCGCUGCGCGGGUGCGGACCGCGCAUCCUUCAGGCGCGUGUGUGCGCGCACGUCCCGCUCCCGCGCAGCCCCGCGGUGCGGAGCCUCGGGACGGAGGCGCGGCUCGCUGCGCGCCGCGGAGCCGCCGCCGGUGCCCGUCUCCUGAGAACAUUUUUUCUGAGUGACUCCGGCUUCCAGACACAUUUGCCAUGA
rnacentral:lncRNA from 1 species